rnacentral:rRNA from 1 species
GACGAACGCUGGCGGCGCGCUUAACACAUGCCAGUCGAACGGAAAGGCCUGCUUUCCCUUGUGGAUUGCGGGUACUCGAGUGGCGAACGGGUGAGUAACACGUGAGUGAUCUGCCCCCAACUUGGGUAUAAGCCUGGGAAACUGGGUCUAAUUCCCGAUAGGACUGCAGGGUGGUGCCUGUGGUGGAAAACGAUUUUCUAGUGGUUGGGGGUGAGCUCGCGGCCUAUCAGCUUGUUGGCGGGGUAAUGGCCUACCAAGGCGGCGACGGGUAGCCGGCCUGAGAGGGUGGACGGCCACAUUGGGACUGAGAUACGGCCCAGACUCCUACGGGAGGCAGCAGUGGGGAAGAUUGCACAAUGGGCGGAAGCCUGAUGCAGCGACGCCGCGUGGGGGAUGACGGCCUUCGGGUUGUAAACUCCUUUCGACCGCGAGGAAGCCACCUGGUUGGAAGGGUGGUGACGGUAGUGGUAGAAGAAGCACCGGCUAACUACGUG